rnacentral:rRNA from 1 species
UACGAAGGGGGCGAGCGUUGUUCGGAUUUACUGGGCGUAAAGGGCGCGUAGGCGGCGCUUCAAGUCGCGUGUGAAAGCCCAGGGCUCAACCCUGGGAUGCCGGUCGAUACUGCCGGACUAGAGUUCGGAAGAGGCGAGUGGAAUUCCCGGUGUAGCGGUGAAAUGCGCAGAUAUCGGGAGGAACACCUAUGGCGAAGGCAGCUCGCUGGGACGUUACUGACGCUGAGACGCGAAAGCGUGGGGAGCAAACAGG